AUUGACCCUAAAGUUGCGUUUCCCCGACGAGCACAGCCCAAGAUGGUCACAAGAACAAAGAAAAUAUUUGUAGGUGGAUUAUCGGCUAAUACAGUAGUGGAGGACGUGAAGCAAUACUUUGAACAGUUUGGCAAGGUAGAGGAUGCCAUGCUAAUGUUUGACAAGACGACCAACAGGCAUAGAGGAUUUGGCUUCGUAACUUUCGAAAACGAAGACGUGGUGGAAAAAGUCUGUGAAAUUCACUUCCACGAAAUCAAUAAUAAAAUGGUAGAAUGUAAGAAAGCACAACCUAAAGAAGUGAUGUUUCCACCAGGGACGAGAGGAAGGGCACGUGGAUUGCCGUACACCAUGGACGCGUUCAUGCUAGGGAUGGGAAUGUUGGGUUACCCGAAUUUUGUUGCAACAUAUGGCCGAGGAUAUCCUGGAUUUGCCCCAAGUUACAGUUAUCAGUUCCCAGGUUUCCCAGCAGCGGCUUACGGACCAGUAGCAGCGGCAGCCGUGGCGGCAGCAAGAGGAUCAGGUAGGGGGGCCCGUGGAAGAGCAAACCCUCAGAGUGCAGGGUCAGAGGGUGUCUCUGAGGCAAACUUUCCGGCCUCUCUUACACUCGGACGUGCACACCUCCUCUCAAACACUCUUCUGAGCGCUCUCAGCGGGAAGUCUUGAAUAGCUACAGUGCUCAACCGAAUUUUGGCGCACCCGCUUCCCCGGCAGGCUCCACCCCAGCGCGGCCCGGCGGCUUCCCCGGCGCCAACAGCCCCGGGCCCGUGGCGGAUCUCUACGGCACGGCCAGCCAGGACUCCGCCGUGGGCAACUACAUAAGCGCCGCCAGCCCGCAGCCAGGCUCGGGCUUCGGCCACGGCAUCGCCGGACCUUUGAUUGCAACGGCUUUUACAAAUGGAUACCAUUGAAACGUUACACAUGGUUGGUUGCCAUCUCACUUGGAGAGUCUCUCUGGAUGUCCGGGCAAGACAGGGCGAAGUUUCUGAAGGGGCCCACGGUUGGGUGAUCUCAUCAGACUUUGAGCACUACAUCAUCAUCACCAUCACCAUCAUCAUCAUCACCGCCAACGCAAACUGGAGGUGGCACUCGAAGGACUUGGGUGGUUUAAAAUCUCUCUCAUCAUCUCAUGAAUCUGCUGUACUAUAAAAACAACAGCUUUUAAAAGUAUGUAUAUAAAACCCAUUUCUUGUUGGUUUUAUUUUCUCGGUGGGUUCCCCCCCUCUUUUUAAGCCUCUCCAAACCCACAUCUUUUCGUAGCCUUUUGGACAUAGUCUCGUAGCCACGUAGUCGCAAUUCUUUGUGUAUGUAGCGAGAGCCUAACCAUAGUGUAACUGUUAUAUUAAAGGGUUUCUUUUGCUUUUUCUUUCCCACCUCCCCUCCUCCUCCUCCUCCUCCUCCUCCUCCCUUCUGUUUUCCGUAGUUGUUGUUGCUUAAAGGAUGCUGAGAUGGUGACAGGAGCCUGGGCAGCGGCGGGCAGGGCACGGGGAGGGGGGAGCAGCAGGUUCUCUGGCCCUUCUUUUCCUUUGUGGCGUCUUGGUUACUCUAAUUCUCUCUAUUUUCGGCAAUAAGGCGAGGGCGACAAACUUUUUGCGCGUCCUUUUUCUAUAUAAGUGCUUUUUUUUGUUGAAAGAGGUGAUAUAAGGUUUUUUGAAAUUGUGAAUUCUGAAAAAAAAAAAAAGAGAAAAAAUAAUAAAAGUGCUGUAAAUACAAUUCCAUUAACUACAUAGAAGCUAUUAAGAAAGAGAAAUACAAACCUAUUUUUGUGACGGAGUCAGCCUAAGGCAGUUUCUCUAUGGAAAUGGAGGAGAGAAGAGAAGGGAGGUGUGGCUGUGGUGCUGUGGGACCCUCCCAGCCCACCCAGCUCACACCAGCAGCUUGCUCUCACACGUGCACAGCCUGCAAAGGAACAGUCUCGAGGGAUUUUUAUUUUAAUUUAAAACCUGCUUUUCCCAAAACUGAUCAAGAAGCUACGAUUUUUCCUACUUAGCGCAUUUACGGUUCAAAGCACACCUUUGUUUUGGUUUUUUAUUUUGGAUUUUGGUUUUUUUGUUUUAGACAUUGUUUUAAACUAGAUCAACUUGCUGUCCAGUCAUUUCAGCUGCUCUGGGCACCCCGUGUGGGCCGAGCAGCGUCCAGCUUGCAUGGUUUCCUUUAUUAUCCAUCACUUUCUGUAAUGUCAAAUUAGAAAGCAACUUUGGUUGGUUUUGAUUUUUUUUUUCUUUUUUUUUUUUUUUUUGGGAAUACCUCAGUGCUACAAGUUUCACCCUAGAAGCAACGGAAGAUUUUAAUUUAUUGUAGUUGUAAACAGAAUUUAAAAGAAAUAAAGUAUAAAACAUCAUUGCACUGUGACUGGUAGGGGAAAAACUGACAGUUUCCUAUUUGCACAUGUUUAAUAUUUGGCUGUUAUAUAUAUGGUCCUCUGUUGGGGGAGGAAACUUAUGAAGGAUAUUUUUUAAUUUAAUUUUUUUAAUAUUGGUAAAUAGGCCUGCAACAGCAAACUAGAAGUACAACAUGGUAGGUGGCAUUAAGAACAUACUGUAGUGUGGAUAUAUUUCUUCUUUUUUUAACGUAAUAUUGACAAGUUUUAUUAAUAUUUUUUUAAAUUGUUACGUUUAUAAAUUUGGUACUUUAGGUACAGCCAGUAUAAGACACUGAAUGCGACAUUUGUUAAAAAGAGCUGCUGCACUCCUAUUUUUGUAAAUUUUACUAACAAGUAGACUAAUGUAGACAUUCAAUAGACAAGGUAGAGCAAGGCAUCUUUAACAAAACAAGGCACCAUACUGCUAACCGAAAGGAGAAACCUUGUUUUUCUUGUUUUUAAAAAAAAAAAAUCAUGCUUUUUAUGUAAUAUUUUAGGUUUUUUUCUUAUUUCAGAACAACCAGGUUUAAGCAAAAUGCUGGACGCUUUUUAAAUAUUGAGACUUGAUCAAGUAAUAAAAGAAAUAAAACCGAAUUCUUUAAAAAAUAAAAAGGUAAAAAAAAAAAAUACUAUGAACCAAAUUCCCUGCGAUUCAGUGUGCCGUCAGGGAAUUUUUUAUUGCUAUUUUGUCAAUGUUGAUGAUGUACUGUACUACCAGUUGGUUUUCCUCUCCAUUCCCUGUCACCUCAUAGAAUAUUCUUUGUUGAUCAUUGUUGUAUGUUAAUAGUGUAUAAAAUGGCUUAUCUUGUAAGAGUGCUGUCCUGAUGGUAGUGUAGUGAAUUUUUCCCCCCCUCUUUCUCUCUUCCUCUUCUAGUACAUAUUGGUAGGUGUAUCGUAAUUAAGGUUAAAAAUUUAGAUGUAGUUAUUCAGAUUUAGGACCAGUAAGGAUAGAACUUUCUCUUAUUUAAGAAAAAAAAAUGCUAAUAAUUUUGGGAAGGUUUUCCUUUUUUGUUUUUUUCUUCUCUUUUUUCUUUCUGUGCUUUUUUUUUCUCUUGUUUAUUAUUUUUCUUUUGUUGAUCUGAUGCGGUUUCAACUAACCAAAGGUCUCACAAUGUUAAAAAUGCUGGCAAACUCUUAAGGCAUUUGUAGAUCCCCACCCAUGACUUUGGAAAGGGGAUGUGCCAUACUACCUUAAAUGCUAAUGCUAGAUAUGCAAAACUGGAUUUUUUUAAUUUAUUUUUUAAAAGAGGGAGGCACGGUAUAUUAAAACGAUUUUACUAAGAGAAAAAAAAAAAAAACAUAUUUUUUUAAGAAUGCUCAGAAGAAAUUGCUAAUCUGUGUGAAUAUGUUUUAGAUGUUUAUAUACCUUUUGAGAAGUCCCAGUGGCCCAUAGCACAAAUGUCGUGGAAUCCAAGAUGUUUUGAUGUGGCUACCUAGACUAAGGUUCACGUUAGUCCCCCACUCAUCUAGAAAUCAAUUUUGAAGGAUUAUUUUUUUUUUUUUCCUUUUCCUUCGUUCGUUUGGGGGUUUUUUGUAAAUUUUUCAGCACAAAGGUUCAGCUGCACCUUUGUUUUACUCAAGCCCAGGAGGGAGCGAAGGAUGGUGGAGCCGUGGGCUGGGUUGGGUUGGAAGGACCCUGAGCCCGUCCAGUGCCACCCCUGCCAUGGCAGGGUCACCUCUGCUGUCCCCAGUGUCCAGCCUGGCCUGGGAGCUGCAGGGACAGAGCCAGGACACCUCCCUGAGGGACAGAGCCCUGCAGAUCUGCCCUGGGGUGGCCAACAGGAGCCAUCUCCACACCUGGGUGACCCACAGGGGCCUCGUCCCCAGCACCAGGGACAGCCCCAGGAGCCACAAGUGCUUGGGACCCUCCCCUCGAAUAACCCGAGUCCUCCUUGGGAUCGGCUUGGUUAAGGCAAAGCCUGACCUGUCCUUUGGGUUUUUUAUUUUUUCUUACACUUCAUAAAUGUUCAUUUUGAGUUGAAUUUGUAGCUUGGACUUUAAGGUAGCAUGGCUCUCUUUGCUGUAAGUUGAUUUUCUUUUUUCCAUUGUACAGCAGCGUCUGCUGGUGAAUGUCACACAUCUUGCUAGGCUUAGUUAAAUCAUUGGGUAAUUGUGGGUGAUAACGACCUGAAAGGUGUUGGGAUUUCUUUUCUUCCCUGCUUUCAUCUGUAGUGUGAAUGAGGGCUAGCGACUCCAGCCACACGUCCCUUCCUGUUUCGUUUCUGCCAUUCACUCAAUGCAACAUAAUCAAUAAUAAAGCAAUAUAGUUUACUACAUUUUUACUGAAGGCCAGCCAUGGUUCUGUAUGAUAUUGCAUAUGAAACUGUUUACAAAAACAAAAAAAAGAAAAAAAAAAAAAAA